rnacentral:lncRNA from 10 species
AAUUAUACCUCAAUAAAUUUAUUUAAAACUAAAAGGAAUAGAAGAGAUUUUUAAAAUUCUAAGAAAUUCAACUUCUAUUUCUGGUAACAUGGUGAAGUAGGUUUCAGGUUUGAACCUUCCCACUCAAAACAACUAAAAUGCUGGAUAUAAUAGAGGAAAAUAUCUCCUUGAAUGCAUGUAUGAGUUAGGAAGAAAGUGAAGAAUGUUCAGACAAGAAGCUGCAUAAAGGCAGAAAACCAGAGAGACAGACCACUGAAGCAGCUUUCACUUCUAGAGGAUUGCCAGACCAGGUGAACUGGAGCACUGGAUUUUGAGACCCCUGGAUCAAAGUCAGGGUCUUCCCAAAGUAGGGAUUCUAAAAUAAGACACCCCUAAUAAAGCUAAGACCCUAAAGGACUACACCCAUUGUAUACAUGUUAAUUAGAAACAAACCUAUCCUAACGAUUUGAAGAGUCUUUUCUCCAAAGAAGACCUACGAAUGGCCAAUAAACACAUGAAAGAUGCUCAACAUCGUUAGUCAUUAAGGGAUGCAAAUAAAAGCCAUAAGCUCUUCACCCCACUAGGAUGGCUAAAAUUAAAAAGACACAAACAAGUGUUGGUCAGGAUGUAGCAAAAUGAGAGCCUUCAUACAUUGCUGGUGGGAGCGUAAAAUGGUGCAGCCACUUUAGUAAAUAGUUUGGCAGUUACAGGUUAAAUGUUAAAUACAGAGUUACUACCAGAGAGACCAAACAUGUGAUUAGACAGUUGGAACUUUCAGCCCCACACACUGACAUGGGGGAGGUGGGCAGAGGGACCGGAGAUUGAGCUCUAUAAAAAAUCUUGAACAAUGACAUUUGAUAUGAGCUUCUGGGUUGGUGAACACAUUUAGAUUCUGGGAGGCUGAUGUCCCCAGAGAGGACAUAAAAGCAUUACUCACCCCUCCCCCACCAUCUUGCUCUAUGCAUCUCUUCCAUUUGGCUGUUCCUGAGUAUCACUUAUACUAAACCAUCAAUAGGAAGUAAAGUGCUUUCCUGAGUUCUGUGAGUCUUCUAGCGAAUUAUCAAACCUAAGGGCCAGGGGUCGUGGGUACGCCUGACUUUUGUAGCCAAGUCGAUCCGAACUGUGGGUAUCCUGUGGAUCCAGUAUUUGUGACUGGCAUCUGAAGUGGGGGCAGUAUUGCGGGACUGAGCUCUUAACCUGUGGAUUCUGCACUAACUCCAGGAGUUAGUGUCAGAAUUGAAUUGAAUCGUUGGGUGCCCAACCGUGUGAGAGAACCAGAGGGUUGGAAAAUUGGUGUUGAAAAUGACCAUGUAUUUGGUGUUAGGGAGGAAACAACCCUUCACAUAUCAGUAUAAAAAUAAAUUGUUGGACAUUGUUCUAGGAAUCUUAUACAGCUGUUAAAACUUAAAAUGGCAGCUACAUCCUCAUUGUGAUAAGUGCAUUUUUCUUUUGUAAUUUUGAAGAAUUAGACUUAAACGUGUUUAAGAGAAUAGCAAACUUUACCGCCUCUUAAAUUUGUCCCAGCAACUAACCACUCCUUCCUUCCUUCCUCCCUCCCUCCCUCCUUUCCUUCCUUCCUGCUUUCCUCUUGAAGGAAAUAAUGUAUACGGUGGUCCAUUUCCAAGACAAAGUGCCUUGAAUCAGCUUAGGUCAGCAAACUACAGAAGAACUAGGAUAUACUAGGCCCCUGCUUGGAUAGCAACGCCUGCUUGUCGGCCUCCGUCCCCCACCCCUUCACCUAAACCAAAGAAGUUUUAUUCUAAGAUAAAAGUUUACUAGCUCACUUUAUCUGUUCUUAUCAGCCUGUCCAGCUACUUAGGUCAUUAAGUCAAACACUUAAAGAGCCCUUGAGCUAACUAGGAUUGCAAUGCAUUGUGGGCUGCAAUAAAAUGCAGCAAGACAACCCUAAAAAAAAAAAAAUCACCUAAAGCCCCUACUCAACAAGCAUAAGCAAAGUCCGGGAAGAUAGUGACCCCAUAGUACUCAGCCUCUGAGGAACCGGGGGAGGGAGCUGCGCACUAGGGGAUAAAUUGCUUGUUAAAACUGUACUGGUGGGAGGCUGAGGCAGGAGAAUCACUUGAACCCAGGAGGCGGAAGUUGCAGUGAGCUGAGAUCGUGCCACUGCACUCAAGCCUGGGUGACAGAGCAAGACUCUGUCUCCAAAAGCAAACAAACAAACAAACAAAACUAUACUGGGCGUGCCUGCCUAUCAGACACCCAAUCUUGCAAGACCACCAUUAAAAGUCUCACUUUUGCUGUUCUCCGAGUCUCUGAAUCCAUUCUUUGGGUUUGGAAGGGUGAGUUUGUUUUUCACAAUCUGGUGGCCAUACGGGGAUCUCUGUGCCUGCAUGGAGAGGGGAGACGUGCCCCACUUGAUUUAUGUGGCCCGCUCUGUCUGGAUGUCCCGGCUCCCCACAGAAGCCACAGACAAACCGGAGACCAUGAUUCAGGAGAUAACAAAAGUGACACAGGAAGAAAAGCAGGCACCGCGGCAACCAGACAACCUCGUGCACGAACCACGGUGGGAAAAUGGGACUGUCACCACUUCCAGCCUGGCGACUUGGUGCUAAUUAAGACUUGGAAGGAAGACAAUCUCCACCCAAGCUGGGAAGGUUCCUAUCAAGUGCUCGUGAUCACUGAGACAGCCGUAGGAACAGCUGAACGGGGUGGACACUCACACUCGGGUCAAGAGACUGGUAAAAGAAACCCCAGAAGGAAGGGAAAAAGAAACUUUGCUCUGGUGGAGGAAACAAACAUGGACACAUUGUGAGAGUUCCAGGAAGUGGCCACUUGGAGGUGGUAUCAAAGUGCUGUGGGAAUCCACUUGGGAUUGCUGGGUAUGUCACUGUCAAGGGGAGGGAGCUGAGUUUCAGCUUGAUCCUUCAAGACAGGCACUCAAGUGUGGAAAGGGAUGGGCCAUGGGCAUGUUUCCAUAGGACCAGAGAUAGACCUAGGUUCAAAUCCUGACUCAAACUACUUAUUAGCUUUAUGAUAAUGAGAAAGUUACUUACACUCUCUGAGCUUCAGUUUCCUUAUCUGUGAAAUGGAGAUGAUAACAUUUACAUAUAUUGCUAGUUUAUUGUGAAUACUUUAAAAGAAGUAAUUGUAUUAGUCCAUUUUUUGCUGCUGUGAAUACAUACACGAGACUGGGUAAUUUAUAAAGGAAAGAGGUUUAAUUGACUCAAUUCAGCAUGGCUGGGGAGGUCUCAGGAAACUUACUAUCAUGGCAGAAAGGGAAGCAAACGUGUCCUUCUUCACAUGGCAGCAGGGAGAAGAAGAAUGAGUGAAAAGGGAAAAGCCCCUUUUAAAACCAUCAUAUCUCGUGAGAACUCACUAUCAUGAGAACAGCAUGGAGGUAACUACCCCCACGAUUCAAUUACCUCCCACUGGGUCCCUCCCACGACAGGUGGGGAUUAUGGAAACUACAAGAUGAGAUUUGGGUGGGGAUACAGCCAAACCAUAUCAAUAAUAUAUAAAGAAUCAAGCCCUCCAUAAAUAGUUAUUAGUAGUACUAUUAUUGUUCCAGGUCCCAUCCUCCAGGAAACCUUUCUUGAUUGCUCUCAAUGAUCUCUCUCCUCUGAAUUCCAGGAAAAGCCAUUGCGCUGAUUGCUUGGCUUUAUUACACAGUGCUUUGUACUAUUGAUAUUGUGAGUUUGAAUCUCAGUUCAUAAACUUAUACAUGCCCAAAACAUCUAAUUUCUUCAUAUUCUGGAAAUCAAAUUAACUUCAACCUUUAGUCUCUAUCCCAUCAAAAUGGCUGUCAAUUCAACUUAGGGGGACUUCCCUGAAUUGUGCCAACGUUCUGCGACUCCUGCAGUGAUAUGGCAUUAGAGGAGCCUCCUAGUCUACUGUCCAUCCAGGUUACCAUUUAAUGCCCCAGCCCUCAUCACCUUGAUUCGUGUCUCUGCUUCAUAGCCUGCCAUGCCUAGGGAAUCUUUGAGGCUGGGAGAAUAAGGUUAAGGAUGCAGCAUCUCUGGGGUCUGACAUGGCCAUUCACCCUGGAGUCCAGCCACAUCACUGGUGUUUUUUCAUCUGAAAAAUGGUAUAAUAAUAAUAGUAAGAGUUAUUAAGCAACUAAUAUAUUCCAGGCAAUUUGCUAGAUCUUUUGAAUACGUUGUCUCAUUUAAUCUUCCCACCCACUCUGUGAAAGAGACUCUGUUAUUACUUUCAGGAACUUUGCUCUGGUGGAGGAGACAAACAUGGACACAUUGUGAUAGUACCAGGAGCUGGCCACUUGGAGGUGGGAUCUAUUAUUAACCACAUUUAGGACUCUUCAAGCUCAAAAACUUGCCCAAGAUCACAUAGUUACAGAGUAGCAGAGGCAAGAUUUUAAUCGUUGUCUCCAAAGUUUGGUUGGUUAACCACCAUGCUCUAUACCCAGUUUGCAGGGUAGUUCUAAAGAUUAGAGCUAAUGUGUGAAAGUGCCAAGAACAGUAUUGGACACAUAAUAGGCACUCAAUUAGGUACAGAUAUUGUUGUUAUUUUUCAAAAGUGGUAUUUCUAGCUGCUGCUAUGAGCUUGCCCAGUUUCCCACUGCAGGGCUGUUGGGAGAAUAGGUGGGAACAAGGAAGCUUUUUAUAGGUUGGCCCAGUUUCCCCUAUUAAUGAGUCCAUUUAUUCAUUCAUUCAACAAAUAAUUUAUUGAGUAAUUACUAUGUGUCAGGCACUGUUCUAUGCACUGGGAAAAUGACAAUGAGCAAAAAUAAUAAAAUCCCUGCUCUCAUGGAACUUAUAGCCUAGCGGAGGAGGGGACAGACACUAAACAAAUAAAAAGUAGAUAGAUGAUGUCUCAAAUGGUAAUAUGCAUUUUGAAAAAAUUAAUCUGAUAGGGGGUUAGAGAGUGAUAGAUGGAGAUAUACAUCUAUUUAUAUAAGGCGGACAGGGAAGACCUCUCUGAUAAAGUGAACUUUGGGCAGAGACCUGAAGGAAGUGAGGAAUUGAACCAUGCAGAUAUCUGGGGAUGUGGGUGACAGGCAGAGAGAAAGAUUCUGAGGUGGCACAGACCCUUGGUAUGUUUGAAGAGCAGUGGAAGCCUAGGGAAUGAGUAUAAACAGAAAAAAAGUGGGUUGGUGUCUUAGAUCAGAAUCCCUAGAAGCAGAACUGAGAUAGGGAUUCGAGUGUAUGUGAUCUUUGAGGGAGUGCUGUCAGGAGAAAACGAGUGAGGGAAACAGAAUAGGACAGGAGAAAGAGCUAGGCAAAGAUAUGGUCUUUAGUUUGAUCCUGUGAGAACUCUGGAGCAUGAAUUAUUCCACAAAGCUGGUUCUACCAAGGCAAGGAAUUGGCCUUUUUUACUUGACCUCGUUUAGUCAUUAGUCAUUAGUCAUUAGUCAUUAGUCAAUGACAGGUCUGCGGGGCAGUGGAGAGCAGUAGUUAAUCUCUCAGGCAAAGCAGAUCCACUUUGUGGAGAGCAAUUCUCCAGAGGAGAAGGAAAUGAUGACCCAUUAGUAGCCAACACUCACAGGAGCUGAGGAAUGGGUACAACUAGCCCUGUAAAGGAGAUCUAAGUAGGACAACAGCAUCCAUUACAGAUGGGAAAUGAACCCUAAGAGGCUCUAACACUUUGAGGUUGAGAGGAUAAAGAGAAAGAAAACUGAGAAGCAACCAAUGAGGUAGGAAGAGAACCAAGAAUAUGUGGUAUCCAGAAAGUCAAGAAAUAAAAUUAUAUCAAGAAUGAUGGAGUAUUGAGGAAAGAGAGGGGGAAGGGAGCAAUUAACUGAGUCAUAUAAUCACUCUGUUAGCCUCCAAGAUGGCCCCCCAAUGACUCUUGCUUCAUGGUACACAUGUCCCCAUGUAAUCUCUUUCUACUUUGAAUCAGACUAACUUGUGUAACCAGUAAGAUAUUCCGAAAAUAAUGGAGUGCAACUUAUGAGACCAGAUCAUAAAAGAUAUUUCAACUUCUGCUUUGUUCUCUUUGAAAUCCCUUCUCCCAGAGGAGAAGCCAGUUGCCAUAUUGUGAGGAUGCUCAAGCAACCUUAUGAAGAGGUCUACAUGGUGAAGAACUAAGGCCUACUAUCAAAAACAAACACUAAUUUGCCAGACAUAUAAUCAGCUUCUGAUAACUGUAGAGAAAAGUAUGGGCAGAAAGGAGAAAGUAAGCCAAGAGGGGAGCUGGAAGUCAGGACCUACUGCCUUGGAAAGCCAUCGUGCUGUGAGGACUCUUCAUCAUUCCUCAAGGUACUUCUGCUUCCUUCCCUUACCUCCCACUACCUCCUAGGCACUCCACUGAACCUGCCCACCUCCACUCCUGCCAUCUCUGCCCACCUCUACUCCAAGCAUCUGGGCAUCCACACUCAGUUCACGUCAGAUCUGGGUGUAAUGAGUUUGAAGUCAGUUUUCAAAGUUGUAUUAAUAGAAUCUUUCUUUGGCCACCCAGGUUUUGGAGAAUUUGGUCAUCCUUCCACUUUAUGGACUGUGAAUUAUCUUGUGACCAAUGAUUUCCUCUUCUUCCCACCUAGGUGUUACUUCACUUACCAACAAUUCCCCAAUUCCCCAAAGUGGAAGGAAGGAGACAAACUUGUACCUUUGACUCAUUUUUCAGAAACUAUGGUGUAAAGGUCUCUGGGAAACUGGGUGAAACUAAAGGGCCAUAUGAUAUUGUUUUCAUUUAUUUUUAUUUUUUAACCUGGAAAAUGUGAAAUGUGUAGAUGCAAUGCCAUAUGAUGUUGAGGAAUUAUUUGUUUUAAAUUAUCUUUCCUCCUUUAUGUCCUGGGCAAAUAUUAAUUAGUUGGUUAUUUGUAACCAUCAGAAAGGAUCCUACUGAUGGCAUGACUCCUUUGCCAAACUUCUUAUCAAAAAUAAGGACUCUGGAACGUUAUGAAAAUAAGAGGUCUAUGGCCAUACCACCCUGAAAACACGCAAUCUUGUCUGAUCUUGGAAGCUAAGCAGGGUUGUGCCUGGUUAGUAUUUGGGUGGGCUAUAGGCUUCUGGCAUCCCAUUC